rnacentral:rRNA from 1 species
UACAGAGGGUGCGAGCGUUGUUCGGAAUUAUUGGGCGUAAAGGGCGCGUAGGCGGUGCGGUAAGUCACCUGUGAAAUCUCCUGGCUCAACUGGGAGCUUGCAGGCGAAACUGCCGUGCUGGAGUGUGGGAGAGGUGAGUGGAAUUCCCGGUGUAGCGGUGAAAUGCGUAGAGAUCGGGAGGAACACCAGUGGCGAAGGCGGCUACCUGGACCAGCACUGACACUGAGGCACGAAAGCGUGGGGAGCAAACAGG